AUUGAACGCUGGCGGCAGGCCUAACACAUGCAAGUCGAGCGGAUGAGGGGUGCUUGCACCCCGAUUCAGCGGCGGACGGGUGAGUAAUGCCUAGGAAUCUGCCCGAUAGUGGGGGACAACGUUUCGAAAGGAACGCUAAUACCGCAUACGUCCUACGGGAGAAAGUGGGGGCUCUUCGGACCUCACGCUAUCGGAUGAGCCUAGGUCGGAUUAGCUAGUUGGUGGGGUAAAGGCUCACCAAGGCGACGAUCCGUAACUGGUCUGAGAGGAUGAUCAGUCACACUGGAACUGAGACACGGUCCAGACUCCUACGGGAGGCAGCAGUGGGGAAUAUUGGACAAUGGGCGAAAGCCUGAUCCAGCCAUGCCGCGUGUGUGAAGAAGGUCUUCGGAUUGUAAAGCACUUUAAGUUGGGAGGAAGGGUUGCAGGUUAAUACCUUGCAGCCUUGACGUUACCGACAGAAUAAGCACCGGCUAACUUCGUGCCAGCAGCCGCGGUAAAAC
rnacentral:rRNA from 1 species